CUACCUCAACCUGGGGGAUAGCCCGGAGAAAUCCGGAUUAAUACCGCAUAAAACCACGGUACGGCAUCGUACCAUGGUCAAACAUUCAUGGGGAUGAGAUGGGCAUGCGUGCCAUUAGUUAGUUGGCGGGGUAACGGCCCACCAAGACUUCGAUGGCUAGGGGAUCUGAGAGGAUGGCCCCCCACACUGGUACUGAGACACGGACCAGACUCCUACGGGAGGCAGCAGUAAGGAAUAUUGGUCAAUGGGCGCAAGCCUGAACCAGCCAUGCCGCGUGCAGGAAGACGGCCCUACGGGUUGUAAACUGCUUUUAUACGGGAAUAAACCCAGAUAUGUAUAUCUGGCUGAAUGUACUGUAAGAAUAAGGAUCGGCUAACUCCGUGCCAGCAGCCGCGGUAAU
rnacentral:rRNA from 1 species